rnacentral:rRNA from 1 species
GUUUAACGGCCGCGGUAUUUUGACCGUGCGAAGGUAGCGCAAUCACUUGUCUUUUAAAUGGAGACCUGUAUGAAUGGCAUAACGAGGGCUUAGCUGUCUCCUCUUCCAAGUUAAUGAAAUUGAUCUCCCCGUGCAGAAGCGGGGAUAAAACCAUAAGACGAGAAGACCCUAUGGAGCUUUAGACACCUAGCCGCAAGUUUUGUCCAAAAACCCUGAAUAAAAGACCAAACAACUAAACCUGCCCUAAUGUCUUUGGUUGGGGCGACCAUGAGGAAACAAAAAACCCUCACGUGGAUAGGGAGACAAUCCCCAGAACUAAGAGCCCCCGCUCUAAUUAACAGAAUUUCUGACCAUCCAGAUCCGGCAAUGCCGAUUAACGAACCGAGUUACCCUAGGGAUAACAGCGCAAUCCCCUUCUAGAGCCCAUAUCGACAAGGGGGUUUACGACCUCGAUGUUGGAUCAGGACAUCCUAAUGGUGCAGCCGCUAUUAAGGGUUCGUUUGUUCAACGAUUAAAGUCCUACGUGAUCUGAGUUC